GGGACGGUAGCUCAGUUGGGAGAGCGCCUGCUUUGCACGCAGGAGGUAGCGGGUUCGAAUCCCGUCCGUUCCACCA
rnacentral:tRNA from 1 species